UAAAGAGUGGUUGGGCACUGGAACAAGCUGCCUAGGGAAGUAGUGGAGUCACCACCUCGGAAGUGCUCAAGAAAUGUGUAGAUGUGGUGCUCAGAGACGGUUCAGUGGGCAAUAUAGGUGGACAGCUGGAUUAGAUGAUCUUAGAGGUCUUUUCCAACCUUAAUGAUUCUACGAUUCUGCGAUGUGAAGUCACUCUACCACAGCUGACUCUGUUUCUGCUUUUCUGUCUCUCCUCUGAGGGACCAGAGAUCAUGUACUCAUGCGUCAGCACCAUGCACUCCAUGCAUUUCUCUUGGAGAAAGGAGCAGGAAGAUUUGUCUCCCAUCAUUCCAUCACUAUGACGGGAGUAAAUUACGAUUAAGAGACAGAAGCCUUGAGAGCAAGACCUCCCUCAUUAAUACAGGGAGAGUACCUCUGUGCGGUGAAUGACCAGGAGCAGCUGGAGACAUGAGAUCAAGACCACAAGACAGAGUUGCAGGAGGCAUCGCAAGCAGAGCUUUGAUGCUGCAGAUCAGAGAUGGACCUUGGUGAAAACUGGGAGCUGGAUGAAGCCAACUGGUUAUCCCAUGGCGGGAUCCAUCCCUUUGCCGGUGUGAAAGGAGACAAUGAGCUUUCCGAAGGUGCACCAGCCCUGUUUGCUCGAGAUCAGCUGGAUCUUCUGCAGCUCAUCAUCUCCCCUUGGCUGGUGCCUUCCUUCAGGGACGUGUGCCCAUUUCUUCCCAGGUUAUGGCAGACAUAGCGACAAAGACAAGCUCCCAAUCCCAAAUAACAAGAUUUGGUUGGUUUCAGUUGAGUAGCAGAUCUUCUAGACGUGCAAAACCAGGUUUUUUCCUGGCUUCUUGGUGACACCCAGGCAAGAAGCGGGACUCUGGAUGGUGGAGGAAUGAGGGAUGGAGCGCAGGACAACCCGGGUCCUGGCAUAUUCCUUGCGCUAAUGGGGGAAUAAUCUGAGCCAGCCAGUGUGGGUGGCUGGCUGUGCUGGCAACGUCUCCCAUGGCCUCUACACAGCCCCACUCCCAGAAACUCCUUGGGCAGCACUUUCCUCUGCACAGACAUCCCUCAGCCUGGAAAAGAUUAGUGAAACCAGUGCUCACAUCACCUUACAUUUCCACUCUGCCUUCCAAAUGCAGCGCAAGGCUCCAUCUGAGGUAGACAAAGCAUGUGAGAUAGCAAAACGAGUAACGGAA
rnacentral:lncRNA from 1 species